GACGAACGCUGGCGGCGUGCUUAACACAUGCAAGUCGAACGGAAAGGCCCUGCUUUUGUGGGGUGCUCGAGUGGCGAACGGGUGAGUAACACGUGAGUAACCUGCCCUUGACUUUGGGAUAACUUCAGGAAACUGGGGCUAAUACCGGAUAGGAGCUCCUGCUGCAUGGUGGGGGUUGGAAAGUUUCGGCGGUUGGGGAUGGACUCGCGGCUUAUCAGCUUGUUGGUGGGGUAGUGGCUUACCAAGGCUUUGACGGGUAGCCGGCCUGAGAGGGUGACCGGCCACAAUGGGACUGAGAUACGGCCCAGACGCCUACGGGAGGCAGCAGUGGGGAAUAUGGCACAAUGGGCGGAAGCCUGAUGCAGCAACGCCGCGUGCGGGAUGACGGCCUUCGGGUUGUAAACCGCUUUCGACUGUGACGAAGCGGGAGUGACGGUAAUGGGUAAAGAAGCACCGGCUAACUACGUG
rnacentral:rRNA from 1 species